UGGCGGCGUGCCUAAUACAAGCAAGUCGAGCGCAGGAAACAAGUAGAUCCCUUCGGGGUGACGCUUGUGGAAUGAGCGGCGGACGGGUGAGUAACACGUGGGCAACCUACCUUGUAGACUGGGAUAACUCCGGGAAACCGGAGCUAAUACGGGAUGAUCAUUUGAAUCGCAUGAUUGAAAUGUAAAAGUGGGGAGUAAUCCUCACACUAUGAGAUGGGCCCGCGGCGCAUUAGCUAGUUGGUAAGGUAAUGGCUUACCAAGGCAACGAUGCGUAGCCGACCUGAGAGGGUGAUCGGCCACACUGGAACUGAGACACGGUCCAGACUCCUACGGGAGGCAGCAGUAGGGAAUCAUCCGCAAUGGGCGAAAGCCUGACGGUGCAACGCCGCGUGAACGAUGAAGGUUUUCGGAUCGUAAAGUUCUGUUAUGAGGGAAGAACAAGUGCCGUUCGAAUAGGGCGGCACCUUGACGGUACCUCACGAGAAAGCCCCGGCUAACUACGUG
rnacentral:rRNA from 1 species